UUGGGUUAAGUCCCGCAACGAGCGCAACCCUCGCCGUUAGUUGCCAGCACGUUUGGGUGGGCACUCUAACGGGACUGCCGGUGUCAAACCGGAGGAAGGUGGGGAUGACGUCAAGUCAUCAUGGCCCUUACGCGCAGGGCUACACACGUGCUACAAUGGCGCGUACAGAGGGCUGCCAACUCGCGAGAGUGCGCCAAUCCCUUAAAACGCGUCGUAGUCCGGAUCGGAGUCUGCAACUCGACUCCGUGAAGUCGGAAUCGCUAGUAAUCGCGAAUCAGAAUGUCGCGGUGAAUACGUUCCCGGGCCUUGUACACACCG
rnacentral:rRNA from 1 species